GGAGUUUGGACCGUCUCUCAGUUCCAAUGUGGCCGAUCACCCUCUCAGGUCGGCUACCGAUCGUCGACUUGGUGGGCCGUUACCUCACCAACUAUCUAAUCGGACGCGAACUCACCCCAAACCGGAUUCCUCCUUUUACCCCUGCGCCAUGCGACGCUGUGGUCUUAUGCGGUAUUAGCACCUGUUUCCAAGUGUUAUUCCCCUGUCUGGGACAGAUUGCUCACGCGUUACUCACCCGUCCGCCACUCGAAUCGAUCCGUAUCCUGCCGAAGCUCUCAACAAAUCAAUCCUCGUUCGACUUGCAUGUGUUAAGCACGCCGCCAGCGUUCGUC
rnacentral:rRNA from 1 species